CAUCUGGAAUAGUAUCUGCUUAACCAGAGAGACCACAACCCUAUUGAAGCCAGCAUGGAAUAUGAGCAGCGACGGUGCUAAAAGGUGUUGGGGUAUUAUAAGUAGAAACAACCUAAAGGUCUACUGAAUUCCAGCCUGAGCUCAGAUCAAAGCAUCUAACCAAGAAACAGGAGAAAUGAGUUGCUAUAACUUCAUAAUUUUGGACAUAAGGAAAAGACUAUCAAGCAUUUUCAGAAUAAGAGAUAGUGGAAGGGAGGAGGACACAGAGAGAAACACGGAUGUGUACAUCGAGCGCCCCGACAAGGGCCAGGGACCAAGCUUGCAACUGAGGUACGUGCCCUUGACC